UUUUAUUUUUGUCAAUUAAUCAAAUACAAAUACAUGAAGGUCCCUUGAAGCAAAUCAGUUUUCUGGUACUAUUCCUUCUCAGCUUGGUAAUCUUGUCAACUUAACAGACCUGAUACUUUCCUCCAAUCAGUUGGAGGGAACCUUGCCAGAGACUCUCGCUAAUCUAAACUUGACUAAUUUUCGUGCAAGUGAUAAUAAUCUUAGUGGCAGAAUACCUGAUUUCAUUGGUAACUGGAGUAAUCUUGAUAGACU